UUAUUGCUUGAGAAUACACGUC
rnacentral:miRNA from 1 species